rnacentral:rRNA from 1 species
UUGGAGAGUUUGAUCCUGGCUCAGGAUGAACGCUGGCGGCAUGCUUAAUACAUGCAAGUUGAACGAGAAUAGUAAAAGCUUGCUUUUACUAGGACAGUAGCGAACGGGUGAGUAAUACGUAAGAAUCUGCCCUUUGGAGGAGGAAAACGGUUGGAAACGACCGCUAAUCCUGCAUAUGCCAUUG